rnacentral:rRNA from 1 species
UAGGAAUAUACCUUAAAGAGGGGGAUAACUUGGGGAAACUCAAGCUAAUACCGCAUAAAACUCUACGGAGCGAAGCUGGGGACCGUAAGGCCUAGCGCUUUAAGAAUAGCCUGCGUCCGAUUAGCUAGUUGAUGUGGUAAAGGCGUCACCAAGGCGACGAUCGGUAGCUGGUCUGAGAGGAUGGACAGCCACACUGGGACUGAGACACGGCCCAGACUCCUACGGGAGGCAG